UCUUGAAUUUUCUCAUGAUUAGUUCCUCUAAUAGUAGGUAAGUUGAUGAUUUCAUCUAGGUGCGCACUGAUCACUGGUCGGGUUUGCCCAUAUUGCUUUUUCAAAUGGUCCCAUGCUGUUUUAUACCCCACAGAGCUUGGUUUUAGAUUAGAAAUUCUAUCUCUUACCUUGGGUACCACCGACUCUAGCAGAUAACCAAAUUUUUCUUCCUCAGAAAUCGGUCUGCUGUCAACUUGAGUCAGAAACAUAUUUUCAAACCGAACCCAAUCGGCUGCCGUACCUUUGAAUGGUGUAAUUUUCAAACGUGGAAGUUUUGCCAAACUAGCCUUUGCCUGUGUUUCCAUUUCAAUCUUUUUCUCGGUCAUUCGUAAUUCUGCGUUAAAUUUUUCUUCCCACAUUUCUCUUUCGCGCUCUCGUAUUUCUCGCCGACGAUGUUCUUCGUUCUCCCGUUUUACUUCUUGUUUUUC